CGCCUGGGGAGUACGGCCGCAAGGUUAAAACUCAAAUGAAUUGACGGGGGCCCGCACAAGCGGUGGAGCAUGUGGUUUAAUUCGACGCAACGCGAAGAACCUUACCUGGCCUUGACAUGCAGAGAACUUUCCAGAGAUGGACUGGUGCCUUCGGGAACUCUGACACAGGUGCUGCAUGGCCGUCGUCAGCUCGUGUCGUGAGAUGUUGGGUUAAGUCCCGUAACGAGCGCAACCCCUAUCCCUAGUUGCUAGCAGUUCGGCUGAGAACUCUAGGGAGACUGCCGGUGACAAACCGGAGGAAGGUGGGGAUGACGUCAGGUCAUCAUGGCCCUUACGGCCAGGGCUACACACGUGCUACAAUGGUGCGCACAGAGGGCUGCAAACCCGCGAGGGGGAGCCAAUCUCACAAAACGCAUCGUAGUCCGGAUCGCAGUCUGCAACUCGACUGCGUGAAGUCGGAAUCGCUAGUAAUCGUGAAUCAGAAUGUCACGGUGAAUACGUUCCCGGGCCUUGUACACACCGCCCGUCACACCAUGGGAGUGGAUUGCACCAGAAGUGGUUAGUCUAACCUUCGGGAGGACGAUCACCACGGUGUGGUUCAUGACUGGGGUGAAGUCGUAACAAGGUAACCGUA
rnacentral:rRNA from 1 species